CAAAAUUGGGAACAUUAUCACCAGGAUAGCAUGAAAUUGAAAAUUUUUAUCAAAGUUUAGUUCAUAGUUUUUUUUAAACCGAGAUGAAAGCUGUACUUUUGUUGCUGGUUGUAAAGGUUAUGUCCAUACAUGGACAUGGUUUUCUAAUGGACCCUCCUUACAGGGCUUAUGCCGCGGGAUACACCACACUCCAAGGAAUGAACUGUGGAGGGAUUUCGGUCUGCCAUUUUGGUAACACUUGAUACAGAUAAAUCAUAUUUCAUUGUCAACUUGAUCUAGUCAAAAUGUGGUGAUAGAUCAUCCACAGAAAUCAUUACCUUGAACUUUUGUUUAUUUAGCAUCAAUGGGACUCCAGUGGAGGUGUAUGUGGUGUCUGUGGCGAUGCUUAUGGUGGAGUUGAAAAUAACAUGGCUGGUGGUAAAUUUGCUACUGGUGCUGUCACGGCAACUUACACUCAAGGUCAGACUAUCGAUGUCACAAUCAAAAUCACUGCCAACCAUCUUGGAUUCUUUAACUUUAGUUUAUGUGUAAACAACGACUUUUUCAAGAAAAUAACAGAAGAAUGUCUGUCAGAACAUCCACUAACCAUCACAGAUCCAGACAAUGGGUUCACUGGAUAAGAAUGGGACCUCCCUGGUCAUGUGACUCUGAAAACUCUCCAACUACAUCUACCAGACGAUGUGCACUGUACAUGAUGUGUUCUUAGAUGGUAUUGGAAAGGAGGAAACAACUGGGGUAUCGACCCUGUUACCGGUAAAGGAUGCAAGGGAUGUGCAGUAAAACAGGAAUGUGUUGACAUAGAAAUUGUGAGUAACCGGCACCUACCGCCCGACCAGCUGCCACAACCAAAGCCACUACCGCGAAUGGUGUUGGUGAUGGAGCUGGUGGAUGCCAAGGCACGGUGGCUCCCACUCCAAUGAACGCCAAACAAUGUACAGCAAAAGAUACAAGUCAACAAGAUGUCGUACUUGUCUGUCAGAACAUGUGCUCCAAAUACAAGUCAACAAGAUGUCGUACUUGUCUGUCAGAACAUGUUCUCCAAAUCGACAUUUUGUCCAAAAUCACACUGUGCUUGCAUGUAGAAUUGACUUAUGACAGGAGACAACAUAACAAUAAUUAGUUUAUAGCAUAUCAAUUUAUGUUUUCCUUUAAUCUUAGAACUAUAUCUCAUAUAGGAAACCGAUUCACAGACUAAACAAAUACAUUACAAAAAAAUAUUUACCAAGUUAUGAUCUUCUUCCUCCUUUAUUAUGUUUUCGGCGAUCAGAAAUUCAAAGUUGUCCUAAGAUAUCUCUUUUGAUAUUUAUUUGUUUUAGAUUUUUAGUUGUGUUAAGUUUUUGCAUGAUUUCGCUUAGUUUUUGUUUCAGCAGAUUCCCUAAAUUUUGUAUUAAAACUAUUUGUACAUUAAAUACUUCGGUCAUGUCUCUGAUGUUAAAUGAUCAAUCUACUGAAACGUCUGUUUUCUCAAAAUGAAAGACAAAUAAAUUUACUUCAAAUGCCUAAUCGAUGUCAUAUGCCACUGAUACCAGCCCUUUCUAAGUGCCCUAGCGAUGUCAUAAGAUACAGAUACAUUCCUUUUUUCAGUGCCUAAGCGAUGUCAUAUAUCACUGAUUAAUGCCUUUUCUAAGUGCCCUAGCGAUGUCAUAUGCCACUGAUAAAAGCCUUUUCAAAUGCCUAAGCGAUGUCAUAAGCCACUGAUACCAGCCCUUUCUAAGUGCCCUAGUGGUGUCAUAUGAUACCGAUACAGUCCUUUUUUCAGUGCCUAAGCGAUGUCAUAUGCCACUGAUAAUAUAAGCCUUUUCUGAGUCCUUAAGCGUUGUCAUAUACCACCUUUUCUGAUUGCCUAAGCGAUGUCAUACUAGUAUACCAUCUUUUCUGAGUGCCUAACCGAUGUCAUAUACCACUGAUACAAGCCUUUUCUAAGUGUCGUAGCGAUGUCAUAUACAACUGGUAUACGUACAAGCCUUUUCUAUGUGCAUAACCUUGGACGGUAGUGUAACAGCACAACAUAAUAACAAAGUGUAAAAAUCAGUUGGAAAUGGAUUGAAUCCAGAGUGGUAUGAAGCACAAGAAAACAAUUGACAUAAAGACUAAAGACACAAAAUACCGAUCUAAGAGUACACGUAGUUACGAGUUAUGGUAGUAUCUCAUAAGUCGUUUUAGGCUUGCACUCUUUUACUUAAUGUUAGGUUCUUAUGACUUUCUGUUGAUAUAGAUAUUGAUAUGGAUG